GACGAACGCUGGCGGCGUGCUUAACACAUGCAAGUCGAACGCUGAAGCCCUUUCGGGGGUGGAUGAGUGGCGAACGGGUGAGUAACACGUGGGUAAUCUGCCCUGCACUCUGGGAUAAGCCUUGGAAACGGGGUCUAAUACCGGAUAGGACACAUCGCCGCAUGGUGUGUGUGUGGAAAGUUCCGGCGGUGCAGGUUGAGCCCGCGGCCUAUCAGCUGGUUGGUGGGGGGAUGGCCUACCAAGGCGACGACGGGUAGCCGGCCUGGGAGGGUGACCGGCCACACUGGGACUGAGACACGGCCCAGACUCCUACGGGAGGCAGCAGUGGGGAAUCUGGCGCAAUGGGCGAAAGCCUGACGCAGCAACGCCGCGUGGGGGAUGACGGCCUUCGGGUUGUAAACCUCUUUCGACCGGGACGAAGGGUGACUGACGGUACCGGUAGAAGAAGCACCGGCUAACUACGUGCCAGCAGCCGCCGUAA
rnacentral:rRNA from 1 species